UGUGUGUGUGUGUGUGUGUGUGUGUCUUUUUUAUUUUUAUUUUUAUUUUUUUUGAGUCAGAGUCUCACUCUGUCAUCCAGGCUGGAGUGCAGUGGUACGAUCUCGACUCACUGCAUCCUCUGCCUUCCAGGUUCAAGCGAUUCUCCUGCCUCAGCCUCCCAAGUAGCUGGGACUACAGGCAUGCACCACCACACCUGGCUAAUUUUUUA
rnacentral:lncRNA from 10 species